CUCAGGGAGGUAGUGACAAGAAAUAACAACACUGGAAAUUUUAUUUCUAGUGAUUGGAAUGAUGGGAAUUUAAACCCCUUUCAGAGUAACAAUUGGAGGGCAAGGCUGGUGCCAGCAGCCGCGGUAAUUCCAGCUCCAAUAGCGUAUAUUAAAGUUGUUGCAGUUAAAAAGCUCGUAGUUGGAUGUCUGCUGGAAGCAAUCGGUUCGCCCUAUUUGUAGGGUGUGCACUUGAUGAAUUCUGGCAUCUUUAUCCCAUGAAUGAUCGUGUGUGUGGGAGCGUCAUAGCUCUCCACCGACGCGUUGUUUUUGGGAUACUGUUACUUUGAGAAAAUUAGAGUGUUUGAAGCAGGCUAAUUGCCUUGAAUACUGCAGCAUGGAAUAACAAUAUAGGAUUUCGGUUCUAUUUUGUUGGUUUCUAGGACUGAAAUAAUGAUUAAUAGGGACAGUUGGGGGCAUUCGUAUUUAACUGUCAGAGGUGAAAUUCUUAGAUUUGUUAAAGACGAACUACUGCGAAAGCAUUUGCCAAAGAUGUUUUCAUUAAUCAAGAACGAAAGUUAGGGGCUCGAAGACGAUCAGAUACCGUCGUAGUCUUAACCAUAAACUAUGCCGACUAGAGAUAGGAAAAUGUCAUUUUGCUGACUU
rnacentral:rRNA from 1 species